GGAAACUGAGGUGGGAGGUGGCACGUUACCGUGAACUCUGUCCUCCACUGCCUCACACUCCUGAGGCCAAGAGCAGACCCCAGGGCAGGGGCUGGCUUAGCCUGGCUCCCACAGGCCACUAGAGAGACAGCUGUGGCCUGGAGAAGCUCUUAGCCUCUUUGGGCUCCCAGGUAUUAAGGGGAUAAAAUCGCAAUCACGGCACCAAUUAGUAGUGGGCUUAGACAUUGCUCUGUGAACUCGUCUCACACUUCAAUGAAACCAGGCCUGUCCCUCUGCAGUAAUUGGGCCGUUGCUUUGCCCACAUUCUCCAGGGCUCUUGCUCCCUCAGAGGAGAAGCCCCAGUCCUCUCAACCACCUCCAAGAUCUGAUCCCAGACCUCUCUGCAUCCUGCUCUGGUCACACCAGCCACUCGCUCUCUCUUUCCUUCCCUUUCUCCCUCCUGUCUUUUUCAUAAAAUAUAUUAUUACCAUCCAGAUACAUCUGGUUUUCCAGCCAAGAUUUCCAUGUAUCUACAUUUUUUUCUCUUCUUAUUUUCUGUUCUCUGCCAACCUUUUUCAAGAAAGAGAUUAUCAAGUCUCUUCACUCACAUGUAAGUAGGCUUUUCUUCCUCUUGACCAGAACUGCCUUAUACAGUUUACAAUCACAUUAUAUUAAAUAUAUUGUACUUUUGCUAUGUUCUUUUUUCUUGGUCGCACAUGAAUAUAGGUGUCAAUCGAAGACCUCACUAGUGACAUAAAAUCCAGAAGUGGUAUCCUCUGUCUGCUUGGUACUGAUUUCCCCGUCUCAUUUACUCAUUAACUUGGUCACCCUUUAUGAAGUCCCGUAUGUCUUGGACUUUGUUCGAGAACAAAAACUAUUUACUCCCAAGCAGAGAGCCCAACCAAUCCUUCAUGGUGAGACGUGCUAUGGAACCGCCACAUGCAGUGACCAGCACUCCAUGCCAAAAGAGCUCCCUGCCCAGCACUUGCCCACAGAACCAGGCACUGAGCUUGUCUAAAAUCAUAGGGAGAAACGAAAACACUUCAAGAUCAUAGAAAACCAUGCUAAAAAUCAGCUGCAGAAGAAACACCAAGAAGAGGCCAUCCCAACACUGAGAGAUAUUCCUAAGAGAGACUGAAACCAGAGGUUCUUUCUUGUAGCUGGACACUGACACUGAAUUAUAUGUGACUGUACU